CUACCAUGACAGUCGAGCGGAAACGAAAGGUGCUUGCACCUCUGGCGUCGAGCGGCGGAGGGAGAGUAAUGCCUGGGAAUUUGCCCAGUUGUGGGGGAUAACCAUGGGAAACGAUGGCUAAUACCGCAUAAACCCUACGGGGAAAAGGGGAGGCUCUUCGGACUUCUCGCAAUUGGAUAAGCCCAGGUGGGAUUAGCUAGUAGGUGAGGUAAAGGCUCACCUAGGCGACGAUCCCUAGCUGUUCUGAGAGGAUGAUCAGCCACACUGGAACUGAGACACGGUCCAGACUCCUACGGGAGGCAGCAGUGGGGAAUAUUGCACAAUGGGGGAAACCCUGAUGCAGCCAUGCCGCGUGUGUGAAGAAGGCCCUAGGGUUGUAAAGCACUUUCAGCGAGGAGGAAAGGUUAGUAGUUAAUACCUGCUAGCUGUGACGUUACUCGCAGAAGAAGCACCGGCUAACUCCGUGCCAGCAGCCGCGGUAAUACGGAGGGUGCGAGCGUUAAUCGGAAUUACUGGGCGUAAAGCGUGCGCAGGCGGUUUGCUAAGUCAGAUGUGAAAGCCCCGGGCUCAACCUGGGAAUCGCAUUUGAAACUGGCAAACUAGAGUCUUGUAGAGGGGGGUAGAAUUUCAGGUGUAGCGGUGAAAUGCGUAGAGAUCUGAAGGAAUACCGGUGGCGAAGGCGGCCCCCUGGACAAAGACUGACGCUCAGGCACGAAAGCGUGGGGAGCAAACAGGAUUAGAUACCCUGGUAGUCCACGCCGUAAACGAUGUCUACUCGGAAUUUGGUCUCUUGAAGACUGGGUUCUCAAGCUAACGCAUUAAGUAGACCGCCUGGGGAGUACGGCCGCAAGGUUAAAACUCAAAUGAAUUGACGGGGGCCCGCACAAGCGGUGGAGCAUGUGGUUUAAUUCGAUGCAACGCGAAGAACCUUACCUACUCUUGACAUCCAGAGAACUUUCCAGAGAUGGAUUGGUGCCUUCGGGAACUCUGAGACAGGUGCUGCAUGGCUGUCGUCAGCUCGGUGGAAU
rnacentral:rRNA from 1 species